GUUAAGAUGGCAGAGCCCGGUAAUUGCGUAAGACUUAAAACUUUAUUCCAGAGGUUCAACUCCUCUUCUUAACA
rnacentral:tRNA from 1 species